GAGGAAUCUUGGCGCAGGGCAGCCAGCUCUGAUGCCCAGGCGGCUUUGGUAUUUCACAUUGACAUAGUUUUGGGGUGAGACCAGGCUCUGGACUUUCAGUCAUACUGCGGGGUACCUGAGGCCAUGGUGGGCAGAGGGCACUGAACCCGCUGAGCUGAGGGUAGGAGCUCCUGGCUCAACCGCACCUGCCGGUCCUGCGUGGCCUGGAUACUCAGCUGAGAGAUGGGAAUAAGGGAAUUUGGGAAAAGAGAUGACGCAACGGGUGAAAAGGAGCCCCAGGACCCUGCCCCCAAGGCUGGCCGUCCAGGGAACCCUGGCCGACAACACCUGUCACCCAGGCAUGCUCAGCUUGGAAUCAGGUGAGAGUUCAGGUCUCUGCCAAUGGCUGGGCCCCCUCCCUGCAGGACCAUUUUCACUGGGGUCACCCACGGCCCCCCAGAGCCCCAUUUGGCAAGGACUGUCUUCAAAAACCGCUCUCUCGGGUAAACAGUGGCGUCUACUGGUUGUAGGUGCAACACAACUCCCGAGGAAUGAGUUCCUGGAAAAAUCCGGAGCAGAGAAGCUUUGGACAGUGUGUGUUUCUUUGUUGGUAAAUAAUCUCCACUAAGCGAGC
rnacentral:lncRNA from 1 species